rnacentral:lncRNA from 1 species
CGACAAAUAAAAUCGCAAGUGCUAUCAAAACCAGCCCGGACAUUGGGAGCCAAAUCUUCCACAAAAACAUGUAGGGCAAGUUCCUUCGGCUCAUCAGCAGCGGCAACGGAAUUUUCCCCGGUCUUGGAAGUCACCAUCAUGUGCAAACAAGGAGGAGAAAAUCUGCAGCGUCACGGCGGCAAAUGUCAAAUCGAGAAGAUUGGGCAGACACGAGAAAAACAAGGGCCGGCCGGUGAUCUGCUCGGACGGGGUGGCCCCAUCUUAUCUAGGGAUUCGGCCAGGAGUCCAGGAGGAAUACAACUCGGACAGGAAGCGCCGCGCACGAAGAUGACCAGAACGAGGACUCCCAAGCGGCUCCGACUCGGACAGGCAAACGCCGCGCACGAAGAUGACCAGAACGAGAACUCCCAGGCGGCAAACAGAUCGAUCCAGAGGUAGUAGAUGUAGCAAAGAAUCGCCGUGAGAAACCCGACGAAUCUGAUACCAAGAUGAUAAGGAUCAACAUAAUCCGAAAGGGUUUUAGGCCCAAUCUUUCACAGCGAUCGACGAACAAGCAUAUCAGCAACCGAGCGAAAUCAAUCUGAAGUAAUCCAGAUCAAAUCCCUUCAAUUCCUCACGUUGGAACUGAUUAGAAUCAACUCCACCGCAGGGCAUAACAUCAGAUCUUCAAGAUCAACAAGCAAACACGACGGUAUGCACCCCUAAACAUUGGGACUUUUCUGAUCUAUUCUUAAUCUCGAAAAUUCAACUCCCUUAUAAUGUCGGCUGCCAAAAACCCUUUAUAGGACGGCUCUAACGCAACUUGGGUGGGACACGCCUCACAACUAAGGCCCAUAGGCUGAACUAAAAGUGGUUUUGGACAGACCCAAAAACCAUCAAACAAAAAUAAAGAAAACACUGCAAAUUUAAAUAAAUCUCAAACUCUAAAACGAAGUAAACUUCAAAACUGAUGGUGUUCUGAAAUUGGGCUUCACCUCAUCUUUCGGAGAAACUUGAACGCAAAAAGAUCCAAAACACAGAAUAUAUGAAGUUGGUGAAAUAGGCUGAACUAAAAGUGGUUUUGGACAGACCCAAAAACCAUCAAACAAAAAUAAAGAAAACACUGCAAAUUUAAAUAAAUCUCAAACUCUAAAACGAAGUAAACUUCAAAACUGAUGGUGUUCUGAAAUUGGGCUUCACCUCAUCUUUCGGAGAAACUUGAACGCAAAAAGAUCCAAAACACAGAAUAUAUGAAGUUGGUGAAAUAGCAUGAGUAAUAGACAUCUUCCCCUCGUCAAACUGCAAGUUCCGGUCCAAAGACUUUCGGCGGUGACGCUGUGAGCAGUAUCUAGCUAGGCAGCUAAGCUAGCCUACGGGUCCAACAAGCUAGGAGAUCGAAGAACGAUUCAACAAACUCAAGUGUAUACGUGUAUACAUACGUAGCCACCACCGAUUCAGAUCAACUCCCCCGUGUGUGGGAGAGACAACAAAAAAUAUUACCAGCAGAGAAUUUAACGACCA